CACUAGGAACGAAGGGGCGGGGCUAUGACGUUCCCGCACGUCCGGUAGUAGGCGGGGCCCUGUUGCCGGAGUAACCGGGCGUCGGUGUAGAGGUGGUGUCUCCUUGUGGCAAAGCUGCCUAUUUCCCCGCGCUGAGAUCCUGAGACUAUGAAUCAUGGUGAAAGGUUCGUUUUCAUUGCAGAGUGGUAUGAUCCAAAUGCUUCACUUUUUCGACGUUACGAGCUUUUAUUUUACCCAGGGGAUGGAUCUGUUGAAAUGCAUGAUGUAAAGAAUCACCGCACCUUUUUAAAGCGAACUAAAUAUGAUGAUCUUCACUUGGAAGAUUUAUUUAUAGGCAACAAAGUGAAUGUCUUUUCUCGACAACUGGUGCUAAUUGAUUAUGGGGAUCAAUAUACCGCUCGCCAACUGGGCAGUAGGAAAGAAAAAACAUUAGCUCUGAUUAAACCAGACGCAGUAUCAAAAGCUGGAGAAAUAAUUGAAAUGAUAAACAAAGCCGGAUUUACUAUAACCAAACUCAAAAUGAUGAUGCUUUCAAGGAAAGAAGCAACAGAUUUUCAUAUAGAUCAUCAGUCAAGGCCCUUUUUAAAUGAGCUUAUCCAGUUUAUUACAAGUGGUCCUACUAUUGCCAUGGAGAUUUUAAGAGAUGAUGCUAUAUGUGAGUGGAAAAGGCUACUUGGACCCGCGAACUCUGGUAUGGCACGUACAGAUGCUCCUGGAAGCCUGAGAGCCCUCUUUGGAACAGACGGCAUAAGAAAUGCAGCUCAUGGCCCUGAUUCUUUUGCUUCUGCUGCCAGAGAAAUGGAGUUAUUUUUUCCUUCAAGUGGAGUUUGUGGACCAGCAAACACCGCUAAAUUUACCAAUUGUACCUGUUGCAUUAUUAAACCCCAUGCCAUCAGUGAAGGACUGCUAGGAAAGAUCCUCAUGGCUAUCCGGGAUGCAGGUUUUGAAAUCUCAGCUAUGCAGAUGUUCAACAUGGAUCGAGUUAAUGUUGAGGAGUUUUAUGAAGUUUAUAAAGGAGUAGUAUCUGAGUAUAACGAGAUGGUGACAGAAAUGUAUUCUGGCCCUUGUGUAGCAAUGGAGAUUCAACAAAAUAAUCCUACAAAGACAUUUCGAGAAUUCUGUGGACCUGCUGAUCCUGAAAUUGCCCGGCAUUUACGCCCUGGAACCCUCAGAGCAAUCUUUGGUAAAACUAAGAUCCAGAAUGCCGUUCACUGUACUGAUCUACCGGAUGAUGGCCUCUUAGAGAAGCACCACCAAGAAUUCUGUGAGCCAAUUGCUGGACUAAUGAAGCAUAUCUACUGAUUGGGAAUUAAAUGAAAACAAAGAUUUUCUUUAUAAGCCAAACUUCUCUACAUACCACAUCCGAAUAAGUUCCUGGAAUGUCUCAGUACUAAAACCCUAGAGGUUCAGUAUUUCUUCAAGAUCUUGGAUAACUAGCAGUACAGAAAGCAAAGAAGUCACAAGCUGCGGCAUUCAGACGAGAGUGAAUCACGCACAUGAGGAUGUGUUCAUUCUUUUAUUGUCCAUUGUUUUAACCUGACUGAAUACAAGAUCAACAAGAGCACUGUACUCCUGGCAAUUAUUAUAUAUGUUAGAACAUGGAUUUUGCACUGUAGACAACAUUUAACACCAGUCUAUGGGGUACUGCAUUGCUUUUUAUAAAGUCCAAAAUAAAGAUUUAUUUUCAAACAA